CUUUUAUUAGUUACCAAAGCAAAAAAAUUUACUCUCUCUUGUUCUUAAAAAAGAAAAGAAAAUACCUGUGAAAAAUUUGAAAGAGAAGACCUGCGAAAUUAGGGUUUUCAUUGAUUUUAGCUUCUUCAACUUCUGUUGCAAUGUAUUGUGGUGAACCCGCAGUUCAUCACAUUCGCAAAUUUUACCAUGGAAUCGGAUAAAUAUAUAUGUGUAAGAGAGACGGACCCUCAGAACAGUGUGGUGAUUAUUGAUAUGAACAUGCCAAUGCAACCUUUGAGGCGUCCAAUUACGGCUGACUCUGUGCUUAUGAAUCCUAAUUCUAGAAUUUUGGCUCUAAAAGUUGAUGAGAUUGUUUGUUGGAGAGCCGAUGUGGACACCUUACAAUCGACCACAAGAAGAUCAUCCAGCAAGGAAGGAGUACAUCAAGAGUGUUACUGAAAGAGUAGGCAGAGUGCCUCUUGCAGCACACUGAGACGCGUAUUUCUUGUUAAAUAGAGCUCCUCAAGCCUGUAUAAGGAAAAUUUUUUAGAACGUAGGAAUAGAGGUUGGUGCCUACUCCGCGUGUACAUUGUGAUUAUUCUUCUAUUGAUUUCUACCCUUUUUUGUAUUUUUUGUAAAAUUAUCCCAUAAAAUUUGACAAAAAACUUUGUUAUUGUCAAGGUUAACUAGGCUGUGGAAUCAGGUAUAAUAGUUCCUUAG